rnacentral:lncRNA from 1 species
GACAAUCAAGGUGAAAAAUAAAUCUGGUGCUUGCACAUCACAUGAUGACGUCUUCCUCUGUCACCCAGGCUGGAGUGCAAUGGCAUGAUCUCAGCUCACUGCAACCUCUGCCUCCCGGGUUCAAGUGAUUCUCCUGCCUCAGCCUUCCAAGUAACUGGGAUUACAGGUGCCCACCACUCCACCUGGCUAAUUUUUGUAUUUUUAGUAGAGAUGGGGUUUUGCCAUGUUGGCCAGGCUGGUUUUGAACUCCUGAACUCAGGAGAUCCACCUAUCUCGGCUUCCAAAAGUGCUGGGAUUACAGGCGUGAGCCACUGCACCUGGCCCCUUCAUUCUAUUUAUAUGAUAUAUCACAUUGACUGAUUUGCGUGUUGAACCAUCCUUGUAUCUCUGGGAUAAAUUCCACUUGGUCAUUAUGAAUUACCUAUUUAUGUAUUGUUUAAUUGAGUUUGCUAGGUUUUUUGCAAAUUUUUGCAUCAAUAUUCUCAAAUAUGGGCCCGUAGUUUGCUUUUUAAAUGUGUCUUUGUCUUGUUUUGAUAUCAGUGUAAUACUAGCCUCAAAGAAUGAGUUUGGAAAUGUUCUUUCCUUCUCUAUUUUUCAGUCUGGUCCUACAGACAUUUUUUUAUUAUGGCUUUAAUUUUGUUACUCGUUAUUGGUCUGUUCAGGUUUUGGAUUUUUUCCUAGUUCACUCUUGGUAAGUUGAGUGUGUCUAAGAAUUAAUUUCCUCUAGGUUUUCUAAUUUGUUGGCAUACAAUUACUUAUAGUAGCCACUAAUGAUCCUUUGAUUUUCUGAAACUUGUAAUGUCUCCUUUUUCACCUUUGAUUUUAUUAAUUUGUAUCUUCUCUGUUUUUUAGCUAGCUGUCUAAAUAUUUGUUAAUUGUUUUACUUUUCAAAAAACCAACUUUUUGUUUCAUUGAUCUUUUGCACUGUUUUCUUCAUUCUAUUUCUGCUCUAAUUUUUAUUAUUUCUUUUCUUCUAAUUUUGAGUUUUGUUUGGCCUUUUUAUUCUAGUGAAUUAAGAUGUAUUGUUAGGUUAUUUAUUUGCAGCUUUUCUGAUUUUUAUAUAGGCACUUACAGUUAUAAAUUUUCCUUUUAUAAUAGUACCUCUUUUACCAUAUUCCACAGGUUUUGCUAUGCUAUGUUUCUAUUAUUGUUUGUUUCAAGAAAUUUUUCCAUUUUCUUUUUAACAUUUUUAUUGACCUACUGAUCAUUAAAGAGCAUACUGUUUAAUGUCCAAGUGUUUGUAUAGUUUCUGAAAUUCAUUUUUUAAUUGAUUUCUAGUUUGUUCCAUUGUGGUCAGAGAAAAUGCUUGAUAUUACUUCAAUUUUUUUAAUGUUUUUAGACUUGUUACAUAAUAUAUGGUCUAUCCUUGAAAAUAACCCAUGUGCAGAGAAGAACAAUGUGUAUUCUGCAGCUGUUGAAUGAAAUUUUCUGUAAAUAUCUAUUAGGUUCAUUUGUUAUACAGUGCAGAUUAAGUCUGAUGUUUCUUUGUUGAUUUUCUGUCUGGAAGGUCUAUCCAAUGACUAAAGUAGGGUGUUGAAGUGUCCAGCCAUUAUUGUAUUGAUAUCUCUUUCUUUAGCUCUUAUAGUAUUUGCUUCAUUUAUCUAGGUGCUUUAGUGUUGAGUGCAUAUAUAUUUCUUAUUAUAU